CGUAGGUGAACCUGCGGAGGGAUCAUUACAGGACGUCAUACUCCCGUAAUACCACUGUGAAUCUUACCUACCGUCGUUGCCUCGGCGUGGCGCCCCCCGGGGAAACCCGCGGCGCCCGCCGGCGGCCCGCAAACUCUGUUUUAGAACUACGCAUCUCCGAGUAUUAUACAAACGAGUCAAAACUUUCAACAACGGAUCUCUUGGUUCUGGCAUCGAUGAAGAACGCAGCGAAAUGCGAUAAGUAAUGUGAAUUGCAGAAUUCAGUGAAUCAUCGAAUCUUUGAACGCACAUUGCGCCCGCCAGCAUCCUGGCGGGCAUGCCUGUUCGAGCGUCAUUUCAACCCUCAAGCCCCCGCGGCUUGGUGUUGGGGACCUGCGCACCGCAGCCCCCUAAAGACAGCGGCGGGCGUGGCCUGGUACCGAACGUAGUAGACUCUCUCUCGUUCGCGGCCCAGGGCGCGCUCCGGCCGGUAAACCCCCAUCUUUUACAAUGGUUGACCUCGGAUCA
rnacentral:sRNA from 1 species